rnacentral:rRNA from 1 species
GUGGGGAAUCUUGCGCAAUGGGCGAAAGCCUGACGCAGCGACGCCGCGUGAGUGAUGAAGGCCUUCGGGUUGUAAAGCUCUGUGGGGAGAGACGAAUAAGUGUCGGCUAAUACCCGGCUCGAUGACGGUAUCUCCUUAGCAAGCACCGGCUAACUCUGUGCCAGCAGCCGCGGUAAGACAGAGGGUGCAAACGUUGUUCGGAAUUACUGGGCGUAAAGCGCGUGUAGGCGGCAGGGCAUGUCGGAUGUGAAAUCCCGUGGCUCAACCACGGAAGUGCACCCGAAACUGCCCAGCUUGAGUCUCGGAGAGGAAGGCGGAAUGCUUGGUGUAGAGGUGAAAUUCGUAGAUAUCAAGCGGAACACCGGUGGCGAAGGCGGCCUUCUGGACGAUGACUGACGCUGAGACGCGAAAGCGUGGGGAGCAAACAGGAUUAGAAACCCGAGUAGUCC